CACCCAGCAAUUCCUAUCCCGACCUCUUCGCGGUACAGGCCGGGGUACGAGUAACCAACCCGAUAGGAACUUUAGUCGUAUGCUGGUGGAGAAGG
rnacentral:ribozyme from 1 species